CUAAUUGAUUGCAUUUUUUUUAAACAUAGGAGAAUGGCAGUCAUUGAUGGAGAAACAUUUCCCCGCACCAAAUCGGAACCGAAUGUGUCAACUGGUGAUUUGCCACCAGACUCAGAGCGUAGCGGAAAUUGAGAGGAUCUGGCGGUGGUUCGAGCCCUUCAUUGGAGAACGGAAUUUCAGAGAAGAAUCGAAAUGGAAUCGGAAUUUAAAUUAACAUGCAGCAAAGGGAAAAGAACAAUAAAUCCGCCAUUAGUGACUCUGACGUAGGUAUGAACAGCCAUUGGUUCCACAACCGCAAGAUUAUCGAGAAGAUUUCUUCAUGGAUGUUGCUGACGCUCUUGUAGGAGUGGGAUUAAUUUGCAAUAGGAACAGUACGACCGGUGUUGUCGCCCGAUAAGGAUUUAACUAGAGCUGUGCAAAAUUCGAUUAAAAUCGAGUUUUAUUCGGCUUUGGGGCACUGAAAUGUCAGUUUUUCGAUAUUCUAACUAAUUCAACUCGUAUUUUAAAUUUUCAACAUUCGAACAGUUCGUUUCGAAUUAUUUUGCACAGCUCUAGAUUUUACAAAUAUGUGACAACAUUUUUUAAUAAUGGAAAAUGCAAAAAGUCCGGUUUAUUGAAGUUCACUUUUCUUGAAAAAAAUCAAUACAAU